rnacentral:rRNA from 1 species
UACAGGGGGGGCAAGCGUUGUUCGGAAUUACUGGGCGUAAAGGGUCUGUAGGUGGCCAACUAAGUCAGACGUGAAAUCCCUCAGCUUAACUGGGGAACUGCGUCUGAUACUGGAUGGCUUGAGUGUGGGAGAGGAAUGCGGAAUUCCAGGUGUAGCGGUGAAAUGCGUAGAUAUCUGGAGGAACACCGGUGGCGAAGGCGGCAUUCUGGACCAUAACUGACACUGAGAGACGAAAUCCAGGGGAGCAAACGGG